rnacentral:sRNA from 12 species
UACAGCACCGCGUGGGCAAGUGGAAACACCCCCAAGGCAUUCGCAUAAUGGAGCCUGAACAGCGCGUAGUGCUGUAUA